UACGUAGGGGGCUAGCGUUGCUCGGAAUUACUGGGCGUAAAGCGCACGUAGGCGGUCUUUUAAGUCGGGGGUGAAAUCCUGGAGCUCAACUCCAGAACUGCCUUCGAUACUGGAAGACUUGAGUCCGGGAGAGGUGAGUGGAACUGCGAGUGUAGAGGUGAAAUUCGUAGAUAUUCGCAAGAACACCAGUGGCGAAGGCGGCUCACUGGCCCGGUACUGACGCUGAGGUGCGAAAGCGUGGGGAGCAAACAGG
rnacentral:rRNA from 1 species